rnacentral:rRNA from 1 species
AGAGUUUGAUCAUGGCUCAGAAUCAACGCUGGCGGCGUGCCUAACACAUGCAAGUCGAACGAGAAAGUCCGCAAGGAUGAGUACAGUGGCGACCGGGUGAGUAACACGUGACUAACCUACCUCCGAGUGGGGAAUAACUCCGGGAAACCGGAGCUAAUACCGCAUAACAUCGCAAGAUCAAAGCAGCAAUGCGCUUGGAGAGGGGGUCGCGGCUGAUUAGCUAGUUGGUAGGGUAACGGCCUACCAAGGCGAAGAUCGGUAUCCGGCCUGAGAGGGCGCACGGACACACUGGAACUGAAACACGGUCCAGACUCCUACGGGAGGCAGCAGUGGGGAAUUUUGCGCAAUGGGGGAAAGCCUGAUGCAGCGACGCCGCGUGAGCGAUGAAGCCCUUCGGGGUGUAAAGCUCUUUCGACGGGAACGAUAAUGACGGUACCCGGAGAAGAAGCUGCGGCUAACUACGUGCCAGCAGCCGCGGUAAUUC